UUAUUAAAUUAAUCUUGGAUUGUCUCUAUAAAAUGGCAUUUCAAUUCACAAAUCUUGAUCAAGAUUAUAAAAUGUCAGGCGCCGGAAAUAAGUUAGGUUAUGGAAAAAAGUGUGAGACACAGGCAAAUGAAGCCCCAAGCCCUAAUUCUAUGAGUGGGAAACCAAAAGCCCAAGCAAUCGCAGCUCAUCCCUUCCCUCCUGAAGAGACCAAUACAGAUGAGAGGAACAACAACACUAAUAUCUUGGCCAACAAUGAAGUUGCGGGCACAACCUCGUCUGGAGCUACACGGGACAAAAAAACCCGGCGCAUGUUUGGAUCGUCUAAAUAGAUAAAUCAGGUCUCGCCGGUGGAUUUGGACGACGGAUGAUGCCAUGAUAUGUUGUGCUCCUCGUGUUUUCGUGUUGUUCUGUACUUUUUUAUUUGUAGUGAUUUUGGAUUGAACGUUACUUUUUUUUAAUAAAUUGAUAUCGUUGUUUAAUUGUAUCA